rnacentral:rRNA from 1 species
AGCCAGACUCCUACGGGAGGCAGCAGUGGGGAAUAUUGCACAAUGGGGGAAACCCUGAUGCAGCGACGCCGCGUGAGUGAAGAAGUAUUUCGGUAUGUAAAGCUCUAUCAGCAGGGAAGAAAAUGACGGUACCUGAUUAAGAAGCCCCGGCUAACUACGUGCCAGCAGCCGCGGUAAUACGUAGGGGGCAAGCGUUAUCCGGAUUUACUGGGUGUAAAGGGGGCGCAGACGGCAAUGCAAGCCAGGAGUGAAAGCCCGGGGCCCAACCCCGGGACUGCUCUUGGAACUGCAUGGCUGGAGUACAGGAGGGGCAGGCGGAAUUCCUAGUGGAGCGGUGAAAUGCGUAGAUAUUAGGAGGAACACCAGUGGCGAGGGCGGCUUACUGGACUGUAACUGACGUUGAGGCUCGAAAGCGUGGGGAGCAAACAGGAUUAGAUACCCGUGUACA